GUGGGGAAUCUUAGACAAUGGGGGAAACCCUGAUCUAGCCAUGCCGCGUGAGCGAUGAAGGCCUUAGGGUUGUAAAGCUCUUUCAGAGGGGAAGAUAAUGACGGUACCCUCAGAAGAAGCCCCGGCUAACUCCGUGCCAGCAGCCGCGGUAAUACGGAGGGGGCUAGCGUUGUUCGGAAUUACUGGGCGUAAAGCGCGCGUAGGCGGAUCGGAAAGUUGGGGGUGAAAUCCCGGGGCUCAACCCCGGAAUUGCCUUCAAAACUCCCGGUCUUGAGGUCGAGAGAGGUGAGUGGAAUUCCGAGUGUAGAGGUGAAAUUCGUAGAUAUUCGGAGGAACACCAGUGGCGAAGGCGGCUCACUGGCUCGAUACUGACGCUGAGGUGCGAAAGCGUGGGGAGCAAACAGGAUUAGAAACCCCAGUAGUCC
rnacentral:rRNA from 1 species